rfam:Ixodes scapularis strain Wikel colony gcontig_1108379821192, whole genome shotgun sequence.
CCCUGGUUAGCUCAGUUGGUAGAGCGCUUCACUGGAAAAGGAGAGGCCCCGGUUUCAAGACCCGGACCAGGCG